rnacentral:rRNA from 1 species
UAGACCCGAAACCCGGUGAUCUAGCCAUGGGCAGGUUGAAGGUUGGGUAACACUAACUGGAGGACCGAACCGACUAAUGUUGAAAAAUUAGCGGAUGACCUGUGGCUGGGGGUGAAAGGCCAAUCAAACCGGGAGAUAGCUGGUUCUCCCCGAAAGCUAUUUAGGUAGCGCCUCGUGAACUCAUCUCCGGGGGUAGAGCACUGUUUCGGCUAGGGGGCCAUCCCGGCUUACCAACCCGAUGCAAACUGCGAAUACCGGAGAAUGUUAUCACGGGAGACACACGGCGGGUGCUAACGUCCGUCGUGAAGAGGGAAACAACCCAGACCGCCAGCUAAGGUCCCAAAGUCAUGGUUAAGUGGGAAACGAUGUGGGAAGGCCCAGACAGCCAGGAUGUUGGCUUAGAAGCAGCCAUCAUUUAAAGAAAGCGUAAUAGCUCACUGGUCGAGUCGGCCUGCGCGGAAGAUGUAACGGGGCUAAACCAUGCACCGAAGCUGCGGCAGCGACACUAUGUGUUGUUGGGUAGGGGAGCGUUCUGUAAGCCUGUGAAGGUGGCCUGUGAGGGUUGCUGGAGGUAUCAGAAGUGCGAAUGCUGACAUAAGUAACGAUAAAGCGGGUGAAAAGCCCGCUCGCCGGAAGACCAAGGGUUCCUGUCCAACGUUAAUCGGGGCAGGGUGAGUCGACCCCUAAGGCGAGGCCGAAAGGCGUAGUCGAUGGGAAACGGGUUAAUAUUCCCGUACUUGGUGUUACUGCGAAGGGGGGACGGAGAAGGCUAUGUUGGCCGGGCGACGGUUGUCCCGGUUUAAGCGUGUAGGUGUGUGUUCCAGGUAAAUCCGGUUCACUUUAACACUGAGGCGUGAUGACGAGGCACUACGGUGCUGAAGCAACAAAUGCCCUGCUUCCAGGAAAAGCCUCUAAGCAUCAGGUAACAUCAAAUCGUACCCCAAACCGACACAGGUGGUCAGGUAGAGAAUACCAAGGCGCUUGAGAGAACUCGGGUGAAGGAACUAGGCAAAAUGGUGCCGUAACU